AUCCCCAAGUCUUCAAAUUAUCACAGCAGAGCAACAGUGUGUGAUACUGAAAGCUAGCAAACCAUCUGGGUGGCUAACUGGUAGUGGUAACAGGAUGGGAGGAAAUGAAUUCCCCAGGAGAGGAAGCAAAUGGUCUUUUGACUAUGAUUUCACAGAUUUCAAGUAAGCCCCAGAUGAGUCUUUGGAACAUGGGAAAGGUAUUGGCUGGAUUUCACUAGGAAAAGAAUCUGUUACAUCAGUAUAUCUGUGUAUUUCCCUGCAUGAUGAACCAUGGGGAAGCAGCAAAGGGAAGGCAACAAAGAAGACAGCCAGUGUGUGUCUAUGGAAAGAAGCCUAGUACCUUGUGUCACUACUUCAAACCAUUCUUGCAUGGUGAAAAGAGAUUAGACUUGUGGCCAGAAAGGAUACAUACAUUGAACCACUCAGAGAGCAGGAAAGAACCUGAACCCAUGUAACUGGGGAAGAAUCAGAGGCUACAGCAAUAAGGAAUAACAGGACAAGGACCAAGCUAUGAAGCUACUGUGAGCCUGCUGUGACCAUUGUGACAGAGGAGGAACAGGAAAAAGCCACUUAAAGUACCGGAGAGGCCCAAAAUACCAAGAAGGCAAUCAGAACAUGCACAACAUGCAGAGAUGGAAAGCAAUUAAAUGUUGAAGCAAAAAAAGACACUGAGCUAUUUGAACCAAGGAAAGGAAAAUCCCCUACUGCAGAUUUAGAGGCCCCACAAAGCUUGGCUGAGAGCCAAGGAGAGCCAAAGCAAGAUUCAAAUAAAAAGGGAAGCACAAAUUGAGAUUUUUCUAAA
rnacentral:lncRNA from 1 species